CCUCCGGCCCCCCACAGCACCACCUGCAGGCCUUGCCUGGGGCCGGCGGCUGACCGGGGCCAUCUGUCUUCAUUAGGCGGGUUUAUUUGGGGAGGCGAGCGAUGGGGGGCUGUCAUGGCUGAGGGAAGGCUUGAUCUAUCGGCAGACACGCUUUGAAGCUCCCUUCAAGGGUGUAGCUGUGCAGAUCGGAGGGGGGCG